rnacentral:lncRNA from 1 species
AAUAGCAGUAAGAUUUCGCGGAAUACUGAUCGUCCCUAGCAUAAAUGACAAAGAGCUUGAUGGUUGAUAUCUGAGGUCUCAAAUUUGAAUCCUAAUUGAUUCACAUUUUCAGCUAAAUUUAUUUCUAAAUGAAAUAAACGAAACGGGUAACAUGCUAUCUUUCUCUCAAAUAAAACAAAAAAAGAUUUUGGAGAAUCUGCGUCUAUUUAAUCAAGUGAAGCGUAAUU